GUCGGGUGGCUGACCAUGGCGACGGUGGCGGAGCAGUGGGUGCUGGUGGAGAUGGUGCAGGUGCUGUACGAGGCUCCAGCAUACCAUCUUAUUCUGGAAGGAAUUCUAAUACUUUGGAUAAUCAGACUCGUUUUCUCUAAAACUUACAAGUUGCAGGAACGUUCUGAUCUUACAGCCAAGGAGAAGGAAGAACUGAUUGAAGAGUGGCAGCCAGAGCCCCUCGUCCCUCCGGUCUCCAAGAACCAUCCUGCUCUCAACUACAGCAUUGUCUCUGGCCCUCCAGCCCACGACAUCGUGGUGAAUGGAAAAGAGUGUGUCAACUUUGCCUCCUUUAAUUUCCUUGGUUUGCUGGCCAACCCUCGGGUUAAGGCCGCAGCUUUUUCGUCUUUAAAGAAGUAUGGCGUGGGCACCUGUGGUCCUCAAGGAUUCUAUGGCACAUUUGAUGUCCAUCUGGAUUUGGAAGAGCGCCUGGCAAAAUUUAUGAAGACCGAAGAAGCCAUCAUUUACUCGUACGGCUUCUCUACCAUAGCCAGUGCGAUUCCUGCUUACUCUAAGAGAGGGGACAUUGUUUUUGUGGACAGUGCAGCCUGCUUUGCUAUCCAGAAAGGAUUACAGGCAUCUCGCAGUGACAUUAAGUUAUUUAAGCAUAAUGAUGUGGCUGACCUGGAGCGACUGCUAAAAGAACAAGAGAUUGAAGAUCAAAAGAAUCCUCGCAAGGCCCGUGUGACUCGGCGGUUCAUCAUGGUGGAAGUGCUGUACAUGAACACUGGCACCAUCUGCCCCCUUCCAGAGCUGGUUAAAUUAAAAUAUAAAUAUAAAGCAAGAAUCUUCCUGGAGGAAAGCCUGUCAUUUGGAGUCCUUGGGGAGCACGGGCGAGGAGUCACUGAGCACUAUGGGAUCAAUAUCGAUGACAUAGACCUUAUCAGUGCUAACAUGGCGAAUGCCUCUCCCGCUCGACCACUCUCCACAACGGUCUAA